AUUGAACGCUGGCGGCAGGCCUAACACAUGCAAGUCGAGCGAGCGGCGGACGGGUGAGUAAUGUAUGGGAACUGCCCGAUAGAGGGGGAUAACUACUGGAAACGGUGGCUAAUACCGCAUACUAUCGGAUAACCCAUAUGGGCUUAGCUAGUGGGUGGGGUAAAGGCUCACCUAGGCGACGAUCUCUAGCUGCUCUGAGAGGUAGAUAAGCCACACGGGGCCGGAGACACGGCCCAGACUCCUCCGGAGGAAGCGUUGGGGAACAUUGCACAAGGGGGGCAAGCUUGACGCAGCAAUGCCGCGGAUAUGAAGAGGGCCGUAGGGUGGUAAACUAUUUUGUGCGGGGAGGCGUUACCUGCAGAAGAAGCACCGGCUAACUCCGUGCCAGCAGCCGCGGUAAUUC
rnacentral:rRNA from 1 species